CAUUAAACAAAAUAUACACAUAUUGAAACCCGUCUAUAUAAACUGUAACACAGCCAGACUUAAUUUUUAUAAAGUUUCAAUUAAAUUUAGAACAACAUGUUUUUAGUCACCUUCGUUUUGUUAUUGUCUACUCCUUUACAAACAAUUUUCACUGAAGCCGUUGAUCCCAGUAUCGAAUGUAUGGAUAUCGAAAAUAUUCAAGAUAAGGAUGCUUUUGAAUUUUUCACCCAAAACCUAAGUAUUGCUGAAAACAAACCGAGAUUAAAGUGCUAUGCUGCAUGCUGUCUUGAGUUUAUGCGUGCAUUACAACGUGGUUGCAACUAUCAGCCGGAAUCAGGUAAAAAGUAUGUCAUCGAUAAUGGAUUAAGAAAGGAUAUGUUGUCAGCAUAUGAUGCAUGUCAUAAUAGUACGACUAGUGUGGAACGUUGUCAGUGCGGAUUUGAUAUUUAUAAGUGUAUUGCGGAAUAUAUGGACCUUCAAAGAAAUGAUUUUUAAAA